rnacentral:rRNA from 1 species
AGCGAACGCUAGCGGCGGGCCUAACACAUGCAAGUCGAGCGCGUGGCUUCGGUCACGAGCGGCGGACGGGUGAGUAACACGUAGGUCAUCUACCCUUUGGUGGGGAAUAACCCAGGGAAACUUGGGCUAAUACCGCAUAUGGCCAGCGAUGGUCAAAGCCAGCAAUGGCGCCAAUGGAUGAGCCUGCGUCGCAUUACCUAGUUGGUGGGGUAAAAGCCUACCAAGGGGACGAUGCGUAGCUGGUCUGAGAGGAUGAUCAGCCACAUUGGGACUGAGACACGGCCCAAACUCCUACGGGUGGUG